GCCCAGGCCGGUGCAGGCACCUGCUCCACAGUGCUGCAGCCCCAAAGCUCGAACAUUCCCCAUCCACUGACCUGGACCUCUAGCUUCUUGAUGAAUGGUGGGAAAGCAGAAGUGGGGGCAGAGCUAAAAGUUGAGACUCAAGGGCCAACCAAUAGCAUUGGUAUUUCCCAAAACCUGAUUAGCAUAAAUUUGGACUAAUAGCAUUGACCAAGUACUACAAAAACCCCGAGACUAGCACGCUCAAGCAGCAACCCCCCGUCAGGUCCCCUCUCGACCCUGAGAGCGCUGUCUCUUUCUCUUCAUGCUUGAAUAAAUUUUAUUCCUCCUUUGCACUCACUCUUCCUCAGCUGUGGCUUUUAUUCUUCAAAUUCGUGAGACAAGAAGCCAGAAGGAAGAGUGAGCUUCUGGGGGUCUGCUACAACACUGGAGGGCAGGGUCAGCCGUUAGGAGCUACAACACGCCACUCGGUGGUGGUGGAGGAGAAUCGGGCCGUGCCUGCUGUGACCCUCAGAGCUGACUCCAGCAGGCACGCCCUGCCUUGAUUGGCUGCUAACACUGCAGCAGGCUUUCUUGGCUGCAGAGGCCUGCCGCUUAUGCAGACCCCACCUGCAAGUAGAAGCAGAGAAUUUAGUUUCAUCUUGAACUCGGGUUUCACUUUAACAUCAAAUCAAGCUCUCUUUUCUCUGAAUCACAUAUGGUUUCCCUCUUAGCCAGACAGAGCACACUCUCAAAUUCAUAUAAAUUUGGACAUUUUUUUUCCAGUUGCCCUGCAUAACUAGCUUGGAGAUGUAAUUAACCCAAAGUGAUAGAUGAAACUAUUUCGUGUGUGUGUGUGUGUGUGUGUGUGUGUGUUUCAGUUAAUGUCAGCCAAUAUUGUGGACAAAUAUUCCCCUCUGCCUUAGUGAACAAUGGGAUAAUGGAUUAGUUUAAAUAACCAGUUCUAGAAUCCCUUGCCAGUGACAUAUAAGGAGACUCAAUCUAUAUUCCUCCUCAUUUCACCAAGCUGCAGGCCUGAUUCUGUUCAGGCCUAAUUUAUCUUUUCCUUUCCUAGCCUUGGUGCCUGGGCAUCCGGGCCAAUUCUCUCAGCCACUUUUCUCUUGCUUCCGGAAAGCAAUCACUUAGUAUGAGCUGGCACACGUGGGCCACCAUGACAGUGCAUGAAGAUGGGUUAUUUCAGGGCCAGGAUCAGAGGCUCCAGCAUGAACAGUGCAUGAUAUAAACACAAAACAGGCCCACUCCCGUGAGCUCUGGGACCAGAGACAUAGUGCAGAGGCUGGGGAGCCCAGGUCCUAAAGUCAAAGGGAUGAGGACAUGGAUAGUUACACUGGUGCCAUUUCAUAAUAGGAAAUCUUGAGGUAGAGGGA
rnacentral:lncRNA from 1 species